ACUUGACCUGAGCUCAGAAUUGA
rnacentral:piRNA from 1 species